rnacentral:rRNA from 1 species
UUUAUUGGAACUGGAAUGAAAGGCUCAACAAACACAUAAUUUUUUAUUUUUAGAUGUUAUAAUUUUUAAUUUACGUAAAAAUACGUAAAUGAAUUUAAGGGACGAUAAGACCCUAAAAGCUUUAUUAUUUAAAUUUUUGUUAUUAUUUAGAUUUGAUUGUUUAAUGUAUUUUAACUGGGGCGGUUGUUUUUUUAACAAAAAUUUUUUUUUACAAAUAGGAUUAAAGAUCCUUAAAAUUAGGAUAGAUUGUUUAAGUUACUUUAGGGAUAACAGCGUUAUAAUAAUAGGGAGACCUUAUUUAUAUUGUUGAUUGCGACCUCGAUGUUGAAUUAAAUUUUUCUAUAUAAAGCAGAAAUUAUAUAUGAAAGUUUGUUCAACUUUUAAAUUUUUACAUGAUCUGAGUUCAAA